CGGAAGGAUCAUUAUCGAGUUUUUGAAACGGGUUGUCGCUGGUCCCAUUCUUAACAGAGUCGGG
rnacentral:rRNA from 1 species